UCGACGGAGGUGCUGACCAAGUUCUUCAUGGACUCGGCUAUGGGAAUUACUAGAGCAUAUAUAGUUUAAACAGCACAUAUGGUUUGAUGCCUCAGCUGUGAUUAGAUGAGGAGAGUUUUCCCUGUUUGUUAUCAUGUUGUAGCAAUGUCUAGUUCGUCUGCGUUCAUGGGUAAGAGUGGUUGCACACGAACUGGAAUUACCUUGUUAAUGUAGGAUAUAUGCUGAAUGUAAUUUGCUUCGUCUACCUAUCAGUCUCUUUUUCUUUGUUACCUUUUUGGUUUUGGGCUUUUUGGUUUUGGUGGAGUGGAAAGAAUUAGAAGGGAAAGAUUUGGAGAAAGUAUCAUAAUCACUUCGUGAGAGAACCUGUGAAACUGAUAUAUUCAGAGCUGUGAAGGAUAAAACAUGACCCAAAUAAAAAAAACAAAGACGUGAAGGGAAGAGGUAAUCAACUUUGAAAUGAGGAUUGUACUACCAAAGUAUAUGAUUGCAAAGGAGAUGAUGAGUUUGCUCAUUCGAGGAAGUAGAUGUUGACUCGGGGCUGAAAAAUGAACCCUAAACCUAUUUGAUUCUCAAAUUGAGUUUGGCUUUGGCUUUGGCUUGUUAAGAGCUUAUUCAAACUUGAUUUACUAAUUAUUUAAAUCAAAUGUUCGAUAACAUUCAAAUUCAAUAAAAAAAAUUCGUUCAAUUUGGUUCGAUAAAUAAACAAGUCAAAUUUGAACAAAAUUUCAAAUUCAUUAAAAUAAUCAAACAACGUUGAAAAUUAAGGUAUUCGACUUGAUGAGAUUCUUUUGUAACUAUUCGACUCUUUGGUACAAGUGUUUUGCAAAAGUGGCAGUUGGUGAUUGCAGGAUUGCAAAUUUGCAAUCUCUAGACCACCAUUUGAUGCUUCAAGAUGCUUUUCCAAAUUAACUAAAUUCUUCCCCACAAAAAAAAAAAAAAAACUUUUAACUAUUGUUCUCUGGGAGCUCUUUAGUCAAACCCUACAUCUUUUUAGUCUACAACUUUUUCAAGACAAUACUUCACAUAUUUUUUGAAACAUUAAUUGUCUAUAGAAUCUGAUAAAUUAGCCUAUACUGUUUCCUUAAUUAAACCCUACACUAAUGAUGCUUUUCAUUCUCAACACGUAAUGAAACAUCAACCCUUAAAUAAAUACAUAGGGUAAACUAUCUUAAUGCCGGUGGUUAGCCGCUCCAAAUACAAGAUAGCUGAUGACUCAAUAUGUUAUAGGGCAAAAUUUCCAUUUGGUCCUUAAACUUUAAUGAUUUCAUACUGUUAACUCUAUAACUAUUAGUAGUAUCUUUUUAACCCUUAAAUUGUUAAAAAGUAUACUUGUAAGUAACCUUUCCCUCAAUUUGAGGUGUUAAAUCAACUAUUUUACCCAUGAAGAAAAGUAUCAAAACAUUUCCCACCUCCGUCAUGAACACAUCAAGAAAUUGAGUGUUCUAGUCUUCUUGGUCCUAUCCGAGAGAAAACCAGCAAGAUUUUUGGACUAGCAUCAAUCUGAUACAAGUUCAUCGAGAAUGUGAAAGAUAAUCUGAUAUGCUCAAGUAAGAGGCCACGGCCGCCUAUGACUACUGAUUCUUUUUUGGAUGGUAUAACGAAGCAGGUUUCCGUAUGGUGAUUAAAUAUGAACUGAGUAAUUCAAUACUCCGUGUCAAGUUUAACUUGGUUAUAGCUAGUUCAACAUUAUUUUUGUCAACUAGAGUUUGUUAAUUUCGUAAACUUAACAAUUAAAUCCCACUCCUCCUCUGUUGAAAAAAAAAAAAAAGAGAAGGGACUUUGUCCCUUCAGGUCACUCCAAUGCCUAAAACACUACUAUUUUGAUUAAAGUGAGGUCGGGAAUGCAAGAUUGCAUACCUCAUAGGUUGACAAAAGUAUUUAUACUAGUGAAACUGGGGAUGAAACGAUAAGAUCUAUUGGUAUAGUCUGACUUCAUAGAGUAAAGUAUAGUAGUCGUGACAGAAGUAGAUAUAAAUCAUAGGAUGGUUGAUUGUCACAUCAAUCAUCUUUCAAUAACAAAACGAGACUCUUGUAUUAUUCAACAUGCUAAGGAAAAAGUAAAAUGAAAUCAUGCUUUAACAUGAUAUUGUUCAAUUGUAUUUGGCUGAUUAGGUAUCUUAUAUAGGUUGGUGUUCUAAGCAUUAUCUUUUAGACUAGAUUGACUAGUAUUUUAAGACCUCGUUUAGAGUUGCGGUGACUUAUAAAAAAAUAUUUCUGAUACAAGUAAAUUUAAUAAAAGUGCUUUCAAAUUACCGAAGUUAGCCUACUUAAAUUACAGGAAAUUAAUUAUCAAACACUUUACAAAUACUUUUAAUGCUUAAAUUCUUUUUUUUUUUUUUUGUAAACGCACCACAACUCAAACGGGACUUAAGUUAUAUCAUAGACAAUAUCACUUAUAAAUAUAAAAAGUUUUUCUGUCCACAAUUUGAUCGAGUGAGAUUUGAAAAAUUCGUGUAGAAGUUAACGAUUGAUUCGGUUAGUGCAACGUGUCUUCAAUCAAGGGGGCAAGAUCCUACGUACGUAGGUGCGAAAAUUCCUAAAAUUUAGAAAUUGAGAGAUAAAAUAAUGAUAAAUUUAAGAAAAUUAAUAGUAAUGAUAAUUGUGUAAUUUUCAAAAUUACAAAUGCGUUAAAUUUUCUAUUUUCUCAUAGAGUACUCCAUAUGGUUUGUAGUAACGUAUUUGAAAGGGGAUUGGAUUAGGUGAUAUAAUGGAAGAAUUUAUAAAGAUGGGGAGUUUCCGGAUCCAAACUUUCUCCCGCUCAUAAAUAAAAGGGAUAAUUGCAGAAACCUCCCCUGACUUUUAUAGUAAUAGCAUUGACCUCCCCUAUCAAUUUUGAAAUAGCACUGACCUCCCCUAUCAAAAGUUGGAGACAAUUUAAUAGGCAAAAGUGGGUCAAUUUACUAAAGUACCCCUAACAUGAUUUAAUUUUACCAAAUGAAUGUGACGAGUACUUUCAUCAAACCCAACAAAACAUUUGUUAAUAAAAAUUACACUAAAUUAACUAUUUAUGGAUAGUUUAACUAAUUAACUAAAUAACUAAUAAUCUAAUUAAUUAAUAACUAAUUAUCUAAUUAACUAUUAACUAUUAACUAAUUAACUAAUUAUCUAAUUGUUAAUAGUUAUUAACUAAUCAAACUAUUUCUGCAUAAUUAAACUAAUUAACUAUUAACUAAUUAUCUAAUUAACUAUUAACUAAUUAACUAAUUAUCUAAUUAAUUAAUUAACUAAUUAACUAAUUUCUGUUUAUCUAAUUAACUAAUCUCUAUUUAUCUAAUUAACUAAUUAACUAAAGCUGUUGUCUGUCUGAAACUAAUAAACUAUUUGUAUGUUAAACUAAUUAACUAAUUAGCUGCUUAACUAAUUAACUACCUAAUUAUCUAAUUAAUUAAUUAACUAAUUAACUAAUUUUUGUUUAUCUAAUUAACUAAUUAACUAAUUAUCUAAUUAACUAAAGUUGUUGUCUAUCUGAAACUAACAAACUAUUUGCAUGUUAAACUAAUUAACUAAAGCUGUUGUCUAUCCUAAACUAACAAACUAUUUGCAUGUUAAACUAAUUAACUAAUUAACUGCUUAAGUAAUUAACUAACUAAUUAUCCAAUUAAUUAAUUAACUAACUUUUGUUUAUCUAAUUAACUAAUUAACUAAAGUUGUUGUCUAUCCGAAACUAACAAACUAUUUGCAUCUUAAACUAAUUAACUAAUUAACUGCUUAACUAAUUAACUAAAGCUGUUGUCUGUCCGAAACUAACAAACUAUUUGCAUGUUAAACUAAUUAACUAAUUAAUUAAUUAAUUAAUUAACUAAUUUCUGUUUAUCUAAUUAACUAAUUAACUAAAGCUGUUGUCUAUCCGAAACUAACAAAUUAUUUCCAUGUUAAACUAAUUAACUGCUUAACUAAUUAACUAACUAAUUAUCUAAUUAAUUAAUUAACUAAUUAACUAAUUUCUAUUUAUCUAAUUAACUAAUUAACUAAAGCUAUUGUCUGUCCGAAACUAACAAACUAUUUGCAUGUUAAACUAAUUAACUAAUUAAUUAACUAACUAAUUAACAAACUAUUUGCAUGUUAAACUAUAUGCAGUACGCAUUACCUAUUUAAAGUAUCGGCUCUUUAUAGGUAUUUUACUUUUAAACAUUUAAUUUAUGAUAAAAAUAUCAAUGUUUGUAAGUAAAAUUCAAAAAGUGUUACAAAAAAUAUCAAUAUUCUUACUUUCAAACAUUUAAUUUAUGGCCCUAUGCCCCUCCCUUUUUGUAAGAAUAUUACUGUAACACUUUUUGAAUUUUACUUGCAAACAUUGAUAUUUUUAUCAUAAAUUAAAUGUUUAAAAGUAAAAUACCCAUAAAGAGCCGAUACUUUAAAUAAGUAAUGCGUACUGCAUAUAGUUUAACAUGCAAAUAGUUUGUUAAUUAGUUAGUUAAUUAAUUAGUUAAUUAGUUAAGCAGUUAAUUAGUUAAUUAGUUUAACAUGCAAAUAGUUUGUUAGUUUCGGACAGACAAUAGCUUUAGUUAAUUAGUUAAUUAGAUAAAUAGAAAUUAGUUAAUUAGUUAAUUAGUUAAUUAAUUAAUUAGAUAAUUAGAUAAUUAAUUAAUAAUUAAUCAAAUAAUUAGUUAAUAGUUAAUUAGUUUAACUAUUAACUAAUUAGAUAAUUAGUUAAGCAAUUGUCAAGCAAAUAAUAAUUGUCAAGCAAGAAGAGGUCAAAAUUGGAAGAAAUUUCUGAUCUCACUUCUACAAAAGCUGUUAGGAGGUUUCUGCAACAAAUUGUUACUGUUCAGGGGAGGUGAAUGCAAUUUCUAAACCUAGAGGGGAGGUCAGUGCAAAUGUCAGAAAUCUCAGGGGAGGUUUCUGCAAUUAUCCCUAAAUAAAAAUAGAAAGUCGUAAUGGGAAGGUACUUUACUUGUAUUUAUGUGAAUGGUCAGUCAAACAGUCAAAAGAUGGAAAUGGGGAAAUUGUGCUUAAAAAUGCCAUUAUUUACAUUCUGCUGUUUGGUCCGGACAGGAAAAUCAGCUGAUUGCCUGAUUCACAUUUCACUAUCCUUCCUUCUAAGUUGAGCACACCUAACUUCAAUUCUCAAAUCAUCAUCACCGUCCGAUCAACCCCCUCUUUCUCUUCUCUUCUAUUCUAGGGCUUUCUAAUUUCAUUUUCAUUUCUCAAACCUACGCUCAGUGAUCGGAAAACGCCAGAGAGAGGAUGUCAACGGCCAGAGCCGCCGGCGAAAAUAAUAAUAAUAAUAAUUCAAAUGAGAGCGGAGGCGGAGUGGAUACGACGCCGUUGCUGCGCGACCAGAUCUUCCGUAGCCGCCCGUUCCUUCGGAGGCCGCCCAGUCUGCGAGGGGCAGCUCGCUUCUUGCGUCGGGCGAGCAGCCGGCGGAUGCUGCGGGAGCCGUCCAUGAGGGUUCGUGAAGCUGCGGCGGAGCAAAUUGAGGAGAGGCAGAGCGAUUGGGCCUACUCCAAGCCGAUAGUGAUUCUGGACUUGGUAUGGAACGUCGCCUUCGUGAUUGUGUCGAUUUCGGUGCUGAUUCUCAGCCGCUAUGAGAAGCCGUCGAUGCCGUUGAGGCUCUGGGUGGUGGGAUAUGCUUUGCAGUGUUUGCUUCAUAUGGUUUGUGUGUGCGUCGAGUAUAAGAAGCGGAGUCAGCAGCGGUAUUUUAUGGGUGAGCCGAGCUGGAGAAGCGGUGGGAGUAGUAAUCGUGGUGAUGGAAUGUGGAAUAGCGGGAAUUCGAGUUCCGGGAGUGAUGAUGGGGAUUAUAGUUCUGAUAGGAGGCAUAGCGAUGAGGAAACCAGGUAAGGUUUCAAUUAAGGGAAAAAAAAAAAAUCCCCCGUUAACAGAAUGCACAGUAGAUUUUGGAAUUAAGUAGGGUUUCCCCCAUUUCGUGGAUCUUCAUGACGUUUUUCAGUUUCAAAAAUAUGUGAAAUUUGAGAACUUUUGUUAGAUGUGUUGACAGAGGAAGGGAUGCACUUCCGGAAAUGUGGUAGGAUGUGUGAUAAUGUCAGCUUUACUAAUCUUGGGUGUUGAACUAGGAGUUUUGGAGAGGAUAGUGUAUCGUAUUGGUAUUAAAAUGCUAAAACCUAGUAACUUGUGCUGAAAUUUCAGCUUCGAGUGUAUGUCUUUGUGGAGGAGUAUGUAGGAGAGUGUCCAUCAAGUUGAAAGGUCAAGUUUUUGAACAUUUUUUUCAACUUCUGUGAACAAAGACGAUUGGUUACUAAAGGAAAGUUAAUUAAGAAAAUGUGGAAUUGAUGGCCUUUGUAGUUGCCAGAUAUUAGAUUCAACUGGUAAUCCUUAAGAAAUGCUUUUAAGUAUCAUAUUGAUGCUCAAUAUUUUCAUUAGAGUUCAAUUUUACCAUUUGCCUGGGCAUCAGAAGCUAAGUGUGCAUAGAGAAAAUUAGUGUAAUCUAGGUUCACUGUUUAAUGAUGCUCUACAAUUUUUGUCUGUGUGAAAAGUUUCAUUGAAGGAUGUUGUAUAUGAACCUGAAUGAUCUUGUCCAAGUGAUUCUUGUAUUAGGGCAUGUUCUUAAUCUAGGAACUAAAAUCAGAAGAUUUUUGCAAUGAUUAAAAUUGAAAUUUUUAUAUAUUUGAACCUUUUAGAGUCAAUUUUUAUUUUCAAGCUCAGUUUUUAAGCGAAUAUUGCAACAUAAUCAACACAUAGGGAUGAAAGGGAGACUAGUUCAUUUGGCAUUUGGUGGCUCACAUAUUUAGGGAUUGACGACAGAUUGAGAGACAAAAGCAUAAAGGUUCAACACUCUUGUCAUUCAAGGUUACCUUGAGAAUGAAGAAGUAUGGAAAUUUGUUGUAAUGAUGUUUCUUGCAGCUAAUAUUUAAACCUUUGAAAGUUGUUUUCAUCUUCAAUUGCUAUAUAUCAUUUUUUCAUGAAGAGAUGCAUUUCUGUGAUUUUCUAAUCCAUCAGAUCCUGAAUGAGCCCCUUGGGGUGCAGCUCACCUGGUUGUGUCGUCUGUCUUUACAGCAUCGACCACGGUUCGAAUCUCCCCGAAUUAAUGCGCUGGGCAUCCUAAGGGGCGGGGCUCUGCUCAGCGCAGGAGGGAUUAGUUUGGGUGAUUUCAGGAUACCCCUGUGUCUACCAAAAAAAAAAAAAAAAAAAGAUCCCUGAAUGAGCUGGUCACACAUAGGAAAAAACAUUUCACACCUCCAAUACAAUGAGCAAUGUUUUUUUUAAAUAACACUAGUAUGCUUAAAACUUAAGACUUAAAGAGGGAAGCCACUUAUUUCUACCUUUUAGCAUAACAAUCUGUGAUUUUUAUUUGUUGCAGUG
rnacentral:lncRNA from 1 species